GUCAGUUCAGACAAUAAAUGCAUCUCCAUCUCCACUCAAAACCCUAUUUCUCUGUUUCAACCAUACCUGUGUUCUCUCUGGUUUUUUAACCUUCGGAUCAAUCUCUAUAAAUUACCCAUUUUUCUCAUAAACGACAAUGCAACACAAAAUAUAAUCUAUGGCCCAUUGUCGUUUAGUUUAUUUGUUUAAUAUCUAAUGAUUUUGUGUAUUGCCCAGUGAUGUAUAAACUCAAAUGUAAUGAGCGGCUUAGCGUGGUUUUGUUCCUCAGGAGCCUUUUGUCAUCACCGCCUCUUCUUCUUCUUCUUCUUCUUCUUUCUUCAUACAUAGAUAUAUAUAUGUAUACACACACACACACACAACCAUACACAUAUACGCACAUUCUCACAAUUACGGUGGUGUUGAAAGGCUUUCGAAGGACGUCAUUUGCUUGAAACCGUGGAUGAAUCAUUCAAAAGCUAUGAGAUCUGAGGGCUUUUUUUAUUUUUAUUUUUGUGCAUUUCGCUUUUCUAGAUGGAACCCAUUUGUGAAUGAAGCUCCAAACUGGGCUUAGACUUGUUAGAAUCUCUUUUUAUUUAUGGAAAUUUUGGUUUUUUUUUUUUUUUUAAAAGAAUAAAAAAGAUUUUUCGCAUUAAUGUUUGUGCUUAAAGUAUAGAUUUUUUUAUGAGCUUCGUUAUAGACAAGUGAAUGGAGAUAAAUAUGUAUUUUUGUGUUGUAUUUUAGAUUUAAUAAUAUAGAUCUGAAUGCAAAAUAGCUGUUUUAGUGUGCUUAACUUGGUUGAUUACUGGAUGUUUUGUUGGUUUGGGUUUGUUUCUUUGAGUUACUUCUUUUACUACUGGUUGUAUAGUUGCUUGAGACCCAAAUUUUGACUUUUAAGAAUUGUAUUGAUUGCUUUUGCCCUAUGAUGGAAAAUUUUAUUCUGGGAAGUGGUACCGUGAAUUUUCACAUUGGAGCUUUUUUUUUUUUACAUUUUUGCUGCUGUUACCAUCACCACCACCACCACUUCUUACUCUCUCUCUCUCUCUCUCUCUCUCUCUCUAUCUAUCUAUCUAUCUAUCUAUCUAUCUUCUCAAUGCGGUUGAAGAUGUAAAGAGGCUCUUAUUGAAAAUUUAGUGGCUAUGCCCCUAAUGACCAGCAAGCUAUGAGAUCUGAGGGCUCUUUAGAAAGCUUUCUUUUGUUACUGGUUGGCAUUUUACUUUCUACAAAAGCAGUACUUUAAACCCUUUUGUUACUUCUUGGCAUGAUUGUUCAAAUCCCGUUAUUUGUUCAUUUAUUUGUUUUUUAUAUAUCCUGUUUCUUUAAGGCUUCUUUAAUUUGCUUGUUCCAAUUUGAUUUUUGUUUUUGAACCAAGAAAAAUCCUAUUUCGUCGUCCAAUUUAUGUUUAACUAUCGUCCGUCUCUUGUAUCUGCCCAAUGAUGAAAACCCAUUUUAUAUUGGCUAGGUGCAUUGGGUUUCAUUUUAGGCCUUCAUUUCCUGUAUCUGUACCAUUAAGAGUGGCAUCUGCUUUUCUUAAUGGUGCUUCUUGUUUUUGAUUUUGUUGUUGUUGUUGUUGUUGUUGUCGUUGAUGCUCCUGUUGUUUCUUUGUUAUUGUUACAUUUGGGAUGUGAACAGGCUUUAAAUGAAAAACAUAAGCAUUGCCAAUCAUGAUAUAAGUUGCUGAGGGCUUUAAAGUUUUGAGUUUGGAGGUGGAUUAGAGUGGGAUUGAAGAAAUGGCUUUGAGGUCUUACCUGCUGUUGCUGUCGUUAGGAGUAAUUUUGAUUUUUCAAGUAGUUCUUGAGCUGCUGGUUUUUUCGUGCAUAUUUAGUUUUUUUUUUUAUUGCCUCGUGUUUUAAAUUUUUGUAUGUGGGAAAUGUCGGAUUAGAUCCAUAAUCAUACCUUAACAUCAUUGAGCAUUAUGAUCAUUAGGACAUUAUUAUGCCAUUAGUGGAAUGGUUAAAUUUUUGCCUGUUUGAAAUUGCAUUUUUAUUUUGCUGGUUUUUUAUGAAUUUGUAUAUAACUCCUUAAUUUUGGUGUACCAAAAUCAUGUAUGAUUGUUCUCUCCUUAAUUACUUGCUAAAGUUUCCACCAUGCAGAUGAGCUUGCAGUUCUGCCCAAUGAUGGAAAUUCCAUUGCAAUUGAGAGGUGCUUUGAUCUUCAUUAUGAGCCUCCAUCUCCUCUAGACUUCUAGAACUGGCUGUUGCUUCUUUUCUUUUCCUUAUUGUUGUUGUUGUUAUUAUUAUUAUUAUUUUUGGUGUUGGUGGUGGUGGUGUUUGUGGUAUAUUGUGUAGUUGGUACGAAGUUUAGCUUGGUAGAUGUUGACUGGCUUGUAGUUAAGUUUUUGCACUCAAUGAAGUUGUAUUGCAUUGAGUUUCUGAGGGCAAAUUUACCCAACAAGCAUAGAAGAGGGUUUUAGAGAAUUCUAAGUCUACCUUUUUCUGAUGUAAACUUAAAAUCUGGGUGCCAGGGAUGCCUUUGAUGAACCGUACGUGUGUAUCUGGAAACAGAGCAAAAGUGUUUUGACAUUUAACUUUCUGCUACUAGUGCUGCGUGCAAUCAGGGCGUGUGCCUUCAUCUUGGAGCCCCAAACUGGGCCUUGACUUGUUGGAGUCUCUUUUGUUUAUAAAAGAAAUUUGGGUUUUGCAAUUUUUUUUAUUUUUUAUUUUUUAUAAAAUUUGACACAUUAAUGUCCUCGCAUAAGGUAUAUAUUUUUUUAUGAGAUACAUGAUAAACGAGUGAAUGGAGAUGAAUGUCUUUUUUGUUGUACUUUAGAUUUAAUAAUAUAGAUCUUAAUGCAAAAUAGCCGUUUCAAUGUGCUUAACUUGGUUGAUUACUGGAUGCAAUUUUGGUGGUAGAAGUUUCAAAUUUUUCUUUUGUGGUUGGUUUGUUUCAAUUACUUCUGUUUGUGUUCUGUGGUUGUGUAGUUGUUUGAGACCCAGAUUUUGACUUUUAGGAGUUGUAUUGAUGGCUUUUGCCCUAUGAUGGAAAUUUUUUUUCUGGGAAGUGGUACCGUGAAUUUUCACAUUUGAGCUUUUUCUAACAUUUUUGCCGCCGUUUCCACCACCGCUUCUACUUCCAUCUCUCUCUCUCUCCUUCUCUCUCUCUCUCUCCUCCUCCUCCUUCUCCUCCUACUUCUUUCUCUUUCUUUCUUCUUUCUUCCUUUUGCGGUUGAAGAUGUAAAGAGGCUCUUAUUGAGAAUUCAGCGGUUAUGCCCCUAAUGACCAGCUAGCUAUGAGAUCUGAGGGCUUUUCAGAAAUCUUUCUUUGUUCACUGCCUGACAUUUACCGUCUUUAAAGGCAGUUUGUUCAAAUUCUAUUAUUAUUAUUAUUUUUAUAUAUAUGAGAUGAUUCUUGAAGGUUUAUUUAAUUCACCGGUUCCAAUUUGAUUUUUGUUUUUGAACCAAGAAAAAUCCUAUUGCAUCUUCCAGUUUAUGUUUUGAGUAUCGUCUGUCUUUAGAGUCUGCCCGGUGAUGGAAACCCAAUUUAUUUUGGCUAGGCGCAUUGGAUUUUCAUUAUAAGCCUUCACUUCCUGUAUCUGUACCAUUAAGAGUGACAUCUGCUUUCUUUAUGGUGCUUUUUGUUUUAUUUUAUUUUUAUUUUUGGGUUGCUGCUGCUGCUGCUGCUGCUGCGGUUUUUUGGUUAUUGUUACAUUUGGGAUGUGAAAUGGCUUUAAUGAAAAACAGAAGCUUGUAGUUCUGCCCAAUGACGGAAAUUUGAUGUUCAGAGGUGCUUUCAUUUACAUGAUGAGCUUCCAUCUCCAAUAGACUUCUAUCACUGGCUGUUGCUUGUUUUCUUUUACUUCUUUUUCUUUUCCUUAUUAUUAUUUUAGGUAUUGUUGGUGGUUGUGGUGGUGUUAUAAUAUGUAGUUGGUCUGUACUUUAAUUGGUAGAUGUUGACUGGCUUGUAGUGAAGUUUUUGCACUCAAUGAAGUUAUAUUUCAUUGAGGUUUUGUUUAUGUUUGGCAUAGCUUUUGCUAAAAUAUUUCUUAAGAAAGUUAUUUUUCACUAAUUUUUGUUAGAAGUGCUUCUGAACCUCUAAAGCACUUCCAAAAAAUAUAUAAACACUCAUAAAACUAUGCUGAACAGGGCUGAGUUUCUGUGGGCAAAAUUUACUCAACCUUUUAGCGUCUAAGAGGAUGGUGUUGUAGAAUUGUAAGUCUAGCUUUUUUUUUAUUUUAACUUAAAUUGUCAGUGUUUUGACAUCCAACUUUCUGCUAGUAUUGCUGCCUGCAAUCAAUCAAGGAGAUGAAUGUAUAUGAAUAUAGAAUUGUAAGUCUAGCUUUUUUCUGAUUUUAACUUAAAUUGUCAGUGUUUUGACAUCCAACUUUCUGCUAGUAUUGCUGCCUGCAAUCAAUCAAGGAGAUGAAUGUAUAUGAAUAUAGAAUUGUAAGUCUAGCUUUUUUCUGAUUUUAACUUAAAUUGUCAGUGUUUUGACAUCCAACUUUCUGCUAGUAUUGCUGCCUGCAAUCAAUCAAGGAGAUGAAUGUAUAUGAAUAUAGAAUAGCAUAUUGCAGAGCAUGUAUGAUAACAAAAUAUUGUUUACCCAAAAAAAAAAAAAGAAGAAAAGAGUAUUGGCAAAGUAGUAAAAACCGUCAAAGUCAGAAGAAGAAAUAAAAAAAGGAGUAGUGGCAAAGUAGUAAAAACCGUCAAAGUCAGAAGAAGAAAUAAAUAA